UACGUAGGGUGCGAGCGUUAAUCGGAAUUACUGGGCGUAAAGCGUGCGCAGGCGGUGCUGUAAGACCGAUGUGAAAUCCCCGGGCUUAACCUGGGAACUGCAUUGGUGACUGCAGCGCUGGAGUAUGGCAGAGGGGGGUGGAAUUCCACGUGUAGCAGUGAAAUGCGUAGAGAUGUGGAGGAACACCGAUGGCGAAGGCAGCCCCCUGGGUCAAGAUUGACGCUCAUGCACGAAAGCAUGGGGAGCAAACAGG
rnacentral:rRNA from 1 species